rnacentral:pre_miRNA from 1 species
UUAAUAACCGAACCGAUGGUUGAACAUGUUAGACCACUAGUUCUCGAUUCAACCAGUUCGAUCGAUUCGACUGUGGGACCAAGUAAAAUUGGUUUUUUAUUUUUUAUUUUUUUAGAUUUUUGUGAACUUUUAAUUAUUGUUGGUUUGACAAUCGAAUCGACCGAACUGGUGGUCUAACCUGUUUAACCAUAGGUUCGAUUAUUAAA